UACGUAGGUGGCAAGCGUUGUCCGGAAUUAUUGGGCGUAAAGCGCGCGCAGGCGGUCUCUUAAGUCUGAUGUGAAAGCCCACGGCUCAACCGUGGAGGGUCAUUGGAAACUGGGAGACUUGAGUGCAGAAGAGGAGAGCGGAAUUCCACGUGUAGCGGUGAAAUGCGUAGAGAUGUGGAGGAACACCAGUGGCGAAGGCGGCUCUCUGGUCUGUAACUGACGCUGAGGCGCGAAAGCGUGGGGAGCGAACAGG
rnacentral:rRNA from 1 species